rnacentral:rRNA from 1 species
ACGCUCGACACCUACGGGGGCAGCAGUCGGGAAUAUUGCGCAAUGGAGGAAACUCUGACGCAGUGACGCCGCGUGCAGGAAGAAGGUUUUCGGAUUGUAAACUGCUUUAGACAGGGAAGAAAAAAGACAGUACCUGUAGAAUAAGCUCCGGCUAACUACGUGUCAGCAGCCGCGGUAAUCUGAGCGGGCUGGCAAGGC